rfam:Gossypium arboreum cultivar AKA8401 contig_17501_7, whole genome shotgun sequence.
AUACCUUUCACGGCCUUUAGGCUAAGAUCAAGUGUAGUUUCUGUUCUUAUCAGUUUAAUAUCUGAUACGUGGGCCUUCGACUCACAAGAUAUUAAAAUUAUUUUUUGAGGGGGAAGGUGUAUGACAGUAGCUUGCUACUGGGGCUCUCGAGCGUCACCAAUGCGUUACACUACUGCUUGGGCCUGGCGCGCCUCAC